rnacentral:rRNA from 1 species
ACCUGACUGCUAUCGGAUUGAUACUAAGCCAUGCGAGUCAUUGUAGUAAUACAAGGCAUACGGCUCACUAACGCGUAAUCAACCUAACCUAUGGACGGGAAUAACCUCGGGAAACUGAAAAUAAUGCCCGAUAGAACAUUAUGCCUGGAAUGGUUUAUGUUCCAAAUGAUUUAUCGCCGUAGGAUGGGACUGCGGCCUAUCAGUUUGUUGGUGAGGUAAUGGCCCACCAAGACUAUUACAGGUACGGGCUCUGAGAGGAGUAGCCCGGAGAUGGGUACUGAGACACGGACCCAGGCCCUAUGGGGCGCACCACGCAAGAAAACUUUGCAAUGUGCGAAAGCACGACUAGGUUAAUCCGAGUGGUUUCUGCUAAAGAAACCUUUUGUCAGUCCUAGAAACACUGAUGAAUAAGGGGUGGGCAAGUUCUGGUGUCAGCCGCCGCGGUAAAACCAGCACCUCAAGUGGUCAGGAUGAUUAUUGGGCCUAAAGCAUCCGUAUCCGGCUCUGUAAGUUUUCGGUUAAAUCUGUACGCUCAACGUACAAGCUGCCGGGAAUACUGCAGAGCUAGGGAGUGGGAGAGGUAGACUGUACUCGGUGGGAAGGGGUAAAAUCCUUUGGAUCUAUUGAUGACCACCUGUGGCGAAGGCGGUCUACCACAACACGUCCGACGGUGAGGGAUGAAAGCUGGGGGAGCAAACCGGAUUAGAUACCCGGGUAGUCCCAGCUGUAAACUAUGCAAACUCAGUGAUGCAUUGGCUUGUGGCCAAUGCAGUGCUGUCGGGAAGCCGUUAAGUUUGCCGCCUGGUAAGUACGUACGCAAGUAUGAAUGUAAACGGAAUUGGCGAGG